rnacentral:rRNA from 1 species
GGGAAGAGAAUGACGGUACCUGGAGAAUAAGUCCCGGCUAACUUCGGGUCAUCAGCCGCGGUAAUACGAAGGGGACUGGCGUUGUUCGGGAUUACUGGGCGUAAAGUUCACGUAGGCGGAUUUGUAAGUCAGGGGUGAAAUCCCGGGGCUCAACCUCGGAACUGCCUUUGAUACUGCAAAUCUCGAGUCCGAUAGAGGUGGGUGGAAUUCCUAGUGUAGAGGUGAAAUUCGUAGAUAUUAGGAAGAACACCGGUGGCGAAGGCGGCCCACUGGAUCGGUACUGACGCUGAGGUGCCAAAGCGUGGGGAGCAAACAGGAUUACAUACCCUGUCACUUCUACCCUAAGAAUUUGGACGCUCUCUAUCGGAAUCCUUGUUUGUAGGUGGCGCAGCUAAUCCAUUGUUCAUCCCCCCCGGGGAGUACGGUCGCAAGAUUAAAACUCAAAGGAAUUGACGGGGGCCUGCACAAGCGGUGGAGCAUGUGGUUUAAUUCGAAGCAACGCGCAGAACCUUACCAGCUCUUGACA